rnacentral:rRNA from 1 species
AUUGAACGCUGGCGGCAUGCCUUACACAUGCAAGUCGAACGGCAGCAUGGGUGCUUGCACCUGAUGGCGAGUGGCGAACGGGUGAGUAAUGCAUCGGAACGUACCCAGUCGUGGGGGAUAACGUAGCGAAAGUUACGCUAAUACCGCAUACGUCCUGAGGGAGAAAGCGGGGGACCGUAAGGCCUCGCGCGAUUGGAGCGGCCGAUGUCGGAUUAGCUAGUUGGUGGGUAAAGGCCUACCAAGGCGACGAUCCGUAGCGGGUCUGAGAGGAUGAUCCGCCACACUGGGACUGAGACACGGCCCAGACUCCUACGGGAGGCAGCAGUGGGGAAUUUUGGACAAUGGGCGAAAGCCUGAUCCAGCCAUGCCGCGUGAGUGAAGAAGGCC